CUCAUUGCUCCAGAACAAAGAUAAAGAAACUUUGGAGAAACUGAUUAGCACCGAGAUUGCAACUUUGCAGAAGGUUUCUGAUGCAGACUCAGAUAAGAUUGACAGAAAACAAAAGGAAACCCGUGCACAGGAAGACUCGGAGCACGAACUGAGCAAGCAAAAGCGACUAAAGCUGUCGGCCACUGAAGAGGAACCUGUGUUGGAGAUAGCAUUCUCCAUUUCUGAUGUGAGGGACACUUAUAAGGAUGCUAAAUUGUUACCAAAAUGGAG
rnacentral:misc_RNA from 1 species